rnacentral:lncRNA from 1 species
GAUUUCAAAAAGAUUCAGUCAGUUUAGACUUUUCCGUUUUUUAAAACAUUUAAAUUUCCUUAUUAAAUACACGAAAUUAUAAAAAUUAGACUGAAAAUUAAGAAAAAUAGAAAACAAUCACAAAAUAUCAAGUCCAAUAAAAAACAAUUUAAUCAAUAAUUGUCGCAGUGUGAAAUCCAGAAGAAGGUGCUCAACGUUUUCUUUGCAAACAACAAUGUCUACCAUGUCCUCAUCACUACGAUAAAUAACAAAUUUCAAAACAUCCCCCUCAACCAAUCUUGCCUUACGAAUAAACAAGUUUCAACCAUCAGAGAACCCCUGCCGGUUCUUCGAACCGCAGGAGCCUACAGUUAAAUUGUGUUCAUCUGCAAACAUUCUAUCCGGUCCUAUAUAUAUUAACAAAGUAUCUGUUGUGUUCUUGGGAAAGUAUUGACUUAUCGAUUGCGGAAGCCACUACAUAAAAGAAAAAUAACAAGACAUCAGUUCAAGAUGUUUUUAAUAAAACAAACAAAUAAAGGAAAUACAAUGAAAUUUUUUACCAUUCCAUUUAGCGUCACGUAUGAUCUACUUAGUCUCAUUUUGAAGUGUGGUAGGGGAGGAUAAGAGACUGGUG